GGAGAUGUAGCUCAGCUGGUAGAGAGUGCUUGCCUGGCAUGCAGGAGGCCCUGGUCCAGCACUCCA
rnacentral:tRNA from 1 species